UACGUAGGGUGCGAGCGUUGUCCGGAAUUAUUGGGCGUAAAGGGCUCGUAGGCGGUUUGUCGCGUCGGGAGUGAAAUCCAUUGGCUUAACUGGUGGCUUGCUUUCGAUACGGGCAGACUGGAGGUAUGCAGGGGAGAACGGAAUUCCUGGUGUAGCGGUGAAAUGCGCAGAUAUCAGGAGGAACACCAGUGGCGAAGGCGGUUGCCUGGAGCUUUGCUGACGCUGAUGCGCGAAAGCGUGGGGAGCGAACAGG
rnacentral:rRNA from 1 species